CAUUGCACUGGCUGCAUUAAUCAAUGAGCCGCCAAGUUAACCUUCCGAAUCGGGCAAUUCUUAUAACAAUGAUGAUUAGUGUCGUGUCAGCAUAAUAGAGGUGCAGUUUGCCACACAUCCUGCGUGGAGUUUACAGAUUUUAAUAAGCGGGAAUUGGACGGUGGAUUACACGCUUUGUAAGAGAAAGUGGUGGUAGCAAAUCAGCUAAUCUCCUUGGGUUGGUUACAAGAUCAUCCACACUUCUUCGCACAAGCACAGCUGCUGGACUCACUGAAAUCACAGAACUCUCUGUGUCUAUUACUGAAUGAUACAAGGUCGGGACGUAAAAAGGAGGAGACGAUGUCAAUUUCUCUAAAUUCUGCUGUUGGCUUCAACUCAACGCUGCAAACCAAAUACCAUCAUGUGUCUAGACCAAAGGCUGCCUCCUUGGGUAUGCUUGCUUCAAGGAUACAAAUAAAUGGAAGAAGAAGAGGGUUAUUUGUUUCAGCUGUGGAUAAUGAUCGUCUUGUCACAGACACCGGCGUUAAGGGUCAUGGAGGUGCUGAGAGCUCAAUUUAUGACAAUCAGCUGUCAGCAGUGAAUUCCCCAAUUGAGGAUUCUCCAGUAGGAAACAAUGUUGGUGAGGAGUCAGGACCUCAAACCUCUGGAGCUUCCAAUGGCUCAACAAUUUCGGUGGAUAUGAAGUCUAGGCCAAAAAGGUCGCCUCUAACAGCAAGAGAGAGACUAAAGGCUGCGAGAGUUAUCAGCCGUUACACAGAAUCAAAGACACCAAAAUCAGAGAUGGGCAGGAAAGUAUUGGAUGCCCUGAGAGAAAGUGACAAGGGCAAGAAAAGAUAUGGCCUUCCAGAAGCUCCUGAAAACUUGUUUGAUGACAGCAAGCGAGGGUUGCCAAAGGAGGGAUGGACCUUUCAAUUUCCAGGGGGUUCAGAACUCUUUUUCAUUGUCGUUUCAUUUGUUUUGAUCAGCACAAUAAUGUUUGCAACGACUUACAUUGUCUGGAAAGUUGGUGCAAUCCAUUUUGAUGAGUAUUAAGGUGGGAUUCCGCUAUUUAGGUGAGCUACCUCUUCAGAUACAUCCAUAGAAAGAUCACAAACUAUUUGGAUUCAGGGAGGAAAGGAGAAAACGAGGAAAACACUGCACGGGUAAGCUUUAAACAGAAUAACGCAGAAUUAUGGACACCACACAAUCCUGAGAGAGAAAAUUUUGAACGUGAGUGGUUGAUCAAAGGUCGUAUCAAUCUUUAACCCUCUUUAUGGUGAGUUGUAGUGUUUGUGUGGGGCCACUGGUGAUGGUAAUCGUAGGGCUCUUGUUUGCUUGUGCAGGACACAAGGACAGUCUUUAACACUGAACAGUUGAAGGUGGACAAAACAAGCCACCAAAAUGAAAGGUCCUUGAUUUUCUAGAUGAUCCAGCUGAGAUAGCAAGAGAGCUGAAAGCAAAACAGAAGUGAAUGAUAGAUAUUUGAAAUCGAAGACACAAGAGCUAUCCUUUAGUUUGUUUCGUUGCUAAACCCUAUCCCUCCAUUGCAAUUUGCAGCACUUGAACAAAAUUGUAGAUGUAAAGACAUGAGAUCAAGGAUACGAUACAUGACAGGACACAUAAACAUGAUGCCAGUUUCAAUCA